UACAGAGGUCCCGAGCGUUGUUCGGAUUUAUUGGGCGUAAAGGGCGCGUAGGCGGCCACCGCAAGUCGACUGUGAAAUCUCCGGGCUUAACCCGGAAAGGUCAGCCGAUACUGCGGGGCUAGAGUGCAGAAGGGGCAACUGGAAUUCUCGGUGUAGCGGUGAAAUGCGUAGAUAUCGAGAGGAACACCUGCGGCGAAGGCGGGUUGCUGGGCUGACACUGACGCUGAUGCGCGAAAGCUAGGGGAGCGAACGGG
rnacentral:rRNA from 1 species